UCCAACGGAUUGAGUUACCUAGUGGCGGACGGGUGAGUAACGCGUGAGGAACCUGCCUUGGAGAGGGGAAUAACACUCCGAAAGGAGUGCUAAUACCGCAUGAUGCAGUUGGGUCGCAUGGCUCUGACUGCCAAAGAUUUAUCGCUCUGAGAUGGCCUCGCGUCUGAUUAGCUAGUAGGCGGGGUAACGGCCCACCUAGGCGACGAUCAGUAGCCGGACUGAGAGGUUGACCGGCCACAUUGGGACUGAGACACGGCCCAGACUCC
rnacentral:rRNA from 1 species